rnacentral:rRNA from 1 species
UAGGGAAUAUUGGACAAUGGGUGAGAGCCUGAUCCAGCCAUGCCGCGUGCAGGAAGAAGGCGUUAUGCGUUGUAAACUGCUUUUUGCCAGGGGAUAAAAAGACCGUGCGCGGUUAAUUGAAGGUACCUGGUGAAUAAGCCACGGCUAACUACGUGCCAGCAGCCGCGGUAAUACGUAGGUGGCAAGCGUUGUCCGGAUUUAUUGGGUUUAAAGGGUGCGUAGGUGGCCCUGUAAGUCAGUGGUGAAAUAUCUCAGCUUAACUGAGAGGGUGCCAUUGAUACUGCAGGGCUUGAGUACAGAUGAGGUAGGCGGAAUUGACGGUGUAGCGGUGAAAUGCAUAGAUAUCGUCAAGAACACCGAUAGCGAAGGCAGCUUACCAAGCUGUAACUGACACUGAGGCACGAAAGUGUGGGGAUCAAACAGGAUUAGAUACCCGAGUAGUCCCUGAGCGGGCUGGCAAGGCG